rnacentral:rRNA from 1 species
UGGGGAAUAUUGCGCAAUGGGCGGAAGCCUGACGCAGCAACGCCGCGUGCGGGAUGACGGCCUUCGGGUUGUAAACCGCUUUCAGCNGGGACGAAGCGUGAGUGACGGUACCUGCAGAAGAAGCACCGGCCAACUACGUGCCAGCAGCCGCGGUGAUACGUAGGGUGCGAGCGUUGUCCGGAAUUAUUGGGCGUAAAGAGCUCGUAGGUGGUUGAUCGCGUCGAAGUGAAAUCUCAGGGCUUAACCCUGAGCGUGCUUCGAUACGGGUCGACUNGAGGAAGGUAGGGGUAGAAUGGAAUUCCUGGUGGAGCGGUGGAAUGCGCAGAUAUCAGGAGGAACACCAGUGGCGAAGGCGGUUCUCUGGACC